UACGGAGGGGACUAGCGUUGUUCGGAAUUACUGGGCGUAAAGGGCACGUAGGCGGUUUUGUAAGUCAGGGGGGAAAUCCCGGGGCUCAACCUCGGAACUGCCUUUGAUACUGCAAAUCUCGAGUCCGGAAGAGGUGAGUGGAAUUCCUAGUGUAGAGGUGAAAUUCGUAGAUAUUAGGAAGAACACCAGUGGCGAAGGCGGCUCACUGGUCCGGUACUGACGCUGAGGUGCGAAAGCGUGGGGAGCAAACAGG
rnacentral:rRNA from 1 species